UACGUAGGUGACAAGCGUUGUCCGGAUUUACUGGGCGUAAAGGGCGCGUAGGCGGCUUUAUAAGUCGGGGGUGAAAGCCUGUGGCUCAACCACAGAAUUGCCUUCGAUACUGAUUGGCUUGAGUCCGGGAGAGGUGAGUGGAACUGCGAGUGUAGAGGUGAAAUUCGUAGAUAUUCGCAAGAACACCAGUGGCGAAGGCGGCUCACUGGCCCGGUACUGACGCUGAGGUGCGAAAGCGUGGGGAGCAAACAGG
rnacentral:rRNA from 1 species